UGUAGACCAAUCAAUUUUCUUACGUAUAUGCUUAUGUGCUUAUGCAAGUUUGUGUGGAUAUACCAUUAGGACCAUCACACACAAAGGCCGGAAUUUAUAGUCGAAUCUUAUUCAAGUUCCAGCUUAAGCACGAUCUUGAGACGUCAAUGCUGUUAUUUCAUUGGUUAAGUAAGUCUCAAGUCGGCUCGAAGCUAGACUUAAGACAAUGCUUGAGCUUAAGAUCGGUCUAUGAAUCCCGUCCACAGAGUCGUUUUGACAUAUCCGCGCGUCAAAAAUAAUAAAUAUUGUCCAAUCAGUUGUAGAAUGUUGUAGACAGCCAGAAAACAAUUUCCUGCAGAGUAAAGCUGCCAAAUUCUGAGCCUGCUAUGUUUCCAAGUGUGCCAAAAUUAUAGAAAAUGUGCUACCCACAUUGGCAUUUGCAAGAAUGAGUUUGGGGAUACCAAUGGAAUGCUUGUCCAAAAAUCAAGGAUCAUUUCGCUAUUGUGAUUCGUUCAUGCCAAAAAUUGUGGAUGCCUCGCGAAACUUUGAAUACGCUUUUAGUGCUCAGAAAGAUAAAUGGUAAAUAAUAUUAUGCAUUUUAAAAUAUGUGAAUAAACGGUUUUAAGCUCGA